AUGCCUGCUAUGGAGAUUUUUGAGUUAGUCAAUGAAGCAGAUUGUUAUCCCAAUAUUUAUAUUGCCUAUCGGAUUUUAUUUACUAUGCCCGUGACUAUGGCAUCAGCGGAGAGAAGUUUCUCAAAGUUGAAAUUGGUGAAGAACUACCUAAGAUCUACAAUGUCACAAGAGAUAUUAAAUGGCUUGGCAACUUUGUGCAUUGAGAAGGAAUUGCUUGAUGAAAUUGAUAUUGGUACUAGGGACAAAUGCAUUUUUGCCCUUAGUCGGAACCACCCCACGGGUUUUGCCCUUACUUUUCGGCUCUGCUCAAUUUUGCCCUUAUAUUUGUCCUUGAGGUCAUCCGAGUGCCCUUUGACCAUUUGA
rnacentral:rRNA from 1 species